rnacentral:rRNA from 1 species
GAGCGGAUGACGGGAGCUUGCUCCUUGAUUCAGCGGCGGACGGGUGAGUAAUGCCUAGGAAUCUGCCUGGUAGUGGGGGACAACGUUUCGAAAGGAACGCUAAUACCGCAUACGUCCUACGGGAGAAAGCAGGGGACCUUCGGGCCUUGCGCUAUCAGAUGAGCCUAGGUCGGAUUAGCUAGUUGGUGGGGUAAUGGCUCACCAAGGCGACGAUCCGUAACUGGUCUGAGAGGAUGAUCAGUCACACUGGAACUGAGACACGGUCCAGACUCUUACGGGAGGCAGCAGUGGGGAAUAUUGGACAAUGGGCGAAAGCCUGAUCCAGCCAUGCCGCGUGUGUGAAGAAGGUCUUCGGAUUGUAAAGCACUUUAACUUGGGAGGAAGGGCAGUAAGCUAAUACCUUGCUGUUUUGACGUUACCGACAGAAUAAGCACCGGCUAACUCUGUG